rnacentral:rRNA from 1 species
UACGUAGGGUGCAAGCGUUGUCCGGAAUUAUUGGGCGUAAAGAGCUCGUAGGCGGUUUGUUGCGUCGGCUGUGAAAUCCCGAGGCUCAACCUCGGGUCUGCAGUCGAUACGAGCAAACUAGAGUGUUGCAGGGGAGACUGGAAUUCCUGGUGUAGCGGUGAAAUGCGCAGAUAUCAGGAGGAACACCGGUGGCGAAGGCGAAUCCCUGGAAAAUACCUGACACUGAGGCACGAAAGCUAGGGGAGCAAACAGG